GCCAGGUGUGGUGGUGCACACCUGUAGUCCUAGCUACUUGGGAGGCUGAGGUGGGAGGAUUGCUUGAGCCAGGGAGGUCAUGGCUGCAGUGAACCCUGAAGUCAUGGCUGCAGUGAGCCAUGAUUUUGUCACUGCACUUUAGCCUGGGCAACAGAGGGAGACCCUGUCUCAA
rnacentral:SRP_RNA from 1 species